rnacentral:lncRNA from 1 species
AGCCCCCCUCAUCUCAGAAAAAAAAAAAAAAAACGUUACCAAACUCUUCACUCCCCGUCUCCUCCCGAUGCCAGACGCCAGGGGCGACGAGAUGGCGACGGCGCCGACGCCGGCCGCGAGCGGCUCGCCGCGGGCGCCCUCCUCCUCCUCUGCCUCUUCAUCUGCCUCCUCCUCCUCCUCCUCUUUCAGUCCUCCUCCUCCGUCGUUCCUCAUGUGCUCCUGUGCUACAGGAAACCCUAGGUGCUUCUGCUCGAGGACCCCAGCUGCGCGUGCCCUCUUCCUUUGCGCCGGCGGCUCAGCUCCGCAGCUGGAUGUGGCGGUUGCUGGCCCCUCCACCUAGGGUUUUGCAGCGGCGGCGGCGACGCCGAGUCAUCCCCUCCUCGCUUCUCUCUCUGUGCGCACAGGCUCAG